ACUGGUGAGUAACGCGUGGGUGAUCUGCCUUUGGGAUGGGGAUAGCCAUUAGAAAUAGUGGGUAAUACCGAAUACGUUCGCGUAGCUGCGGCUAUGCGAGGAAAAGCGCUUCGGCGCUGCCCGAAGAUGAGCCCGCGUCCCAUUAGCUAGUUGGUGAGGUAAAGGCCCACCAAGGCUAUGAUGGGUAGCCGGCCUGAGAGGGUGUACGGCCACACUGGGACUGAGAUACGGCCCAGACUCCUACGGGAGGCAGCAGCUAAGAAUAUUCCGCAAUGGACGAAAGUCUGACGGAGCGACGCCGCGUGGAUGACGAAGGCCGAAAGGUUGUAAAGUCCUUUUGUUGGGGAAGAAUAACCAUGGGAGGGAAUGCCCGUGGGAUGACAUGAACCGACGAAUAAGCCCCGGCUAACUACGUGCCAGCAGCCGCGGUAACACGUAGGGGGCGAGCGUUGUUCGGAAUUACUGGGCGUAAAGGGCAUGUAGGCGGCUUUGUAAGCCCGGCGUGGAAGCCCACGGCUCAACCGUGGGAUUGCGUUGGGAACUGCGAGGCUUGAAUCAUGGAGAGGGAGCUAGAAUUCCUGGUGUAGGGGUGAAAUCUGUAGAGAUCAGGAAGAAUACCAGUGGCGAAGGCGAGCUCCUGGCCAAUGAUUGACGCUGAGGUGCGGAAGUGUGGGGAUCAAACAGGAUUAGAUACCCUGGUAGUCCACACUGUAAACGAUGUGCACUAGUGCUGGGGCGGAUGCUUCAGUGCCGGAGCU
rnacentral:rRNA from 1 species